CAAGGGCAUCUGUCGAGGUGCUGCAUGGCUGUCGUCAGCUCUUGUCGUGAGAUGUUGGGUUAAGUCCCGCAACGAGCGCAACCCUUGUCUUCUGUUGCCAUCAGGUCAAGCUGGGCACUCUGAAGAGACUGCCGGUGACAAACCGGAGGAAGGUGGGGAUGACGUCAAGUCAGCAUGGCCUUUAUGUCUGGGGCCACACACGUGCUACAAUGGCAGGUACAAACCGUUGCGAGCCCGCGAGGGGGAGCUAAUCGGACAAAGCCUGUCUCAGUUCGGAUUGUAGGCUGCAACUCGCCUGCAUGAAGUUGGAAUC
rnacentral:rRNA from 1 species